rnacentral:rRNA from 1 species
UGGGGAAUAUUGGACAAUGGGGGAAACCCUGAUCCAGCCAUGCCGCGUGCGUGAAGAAGGCCUCAGGGUUGUAAAGCGCUUUCGGCGGGGAAGAUGAUGACGGUACCCGCAGAAGAAGCCCCGGCUAACUCCGUGCCAGCAGCCGCGGUGAUACGGAGGGGGCAAGCGUUGUUCGGAAUUACUGGGCGUAAAGGGCGCGUAGGCGGGCGACUAAGUCAGAGGUGAAAGGCCUGGGCUCAACCUGGGAACUGCCUUUGAAACUAGUUGUCUAGAGUCCGGAAGAGGAUGGCGGAAUUCCCAGUGUAGAGGUGAAAUUCGUAGAUAUUGGGAAGAACACCAGUGGCGAAGGCGGCCAUCUGGUCCGGUACUGACGCUGAGGCGCGAAAGCGUGGGGAGCAAACAGGAUUAGAUACCCUGGUAGUCCACGCCGUAAACGAUGUGUGCUAGCCGUUGGGAAACCUAGUUUCUCGGUGGCGCAGCUAACGCGAUAAGCACACCGCCUGGGGAGUACGGUCGCAAGAUU